rnacentral:rRNA from 1 species
AUUGAACGCUGGCGGCAGGCCUAACACAUGCAAGUCGAGCGGUAGAGAGAAGCUUGCUUCUCUUGAGAGCGGCGGACGGGUGAGUAAUGCCUAGGAAUCUGCCUGGUAGUGGGGGAUAACGUCCGGAAACGGACGCUAAUACCGCAUACGUCCUACGGGAGAAAGCAGGGGACCUUCGGGCCUUGCGCUAUCAGAUGAGC